UACUCGAGUUGCGAACGGGUGAGUAACACGUGGGUGAUCUGCCCUGCACUUCGGGAUAAGCCUGGGAAACUGGGUCUAAUACCGGAUAGGAGCCAUUUUUAGUGUGAUGGUUGGAAAGUUUUUUCGGUGUAGGAUGAGCUCGCUGCCUAUCAGCUUGUUGGUGGGGUAAUGGCCUACCAAGGCGGCGACGGGUAGCCGGCCUGAGAGGGUGGACGGCCACAUUGGGACUGAGAUACGGCCCAG
rnacentral:rRNA from 1 species